GAACUGCCAGGCCCAGAGGUGCCAGGGCUCUGAACUGCCAGGCCCAGAGGUGCUGGGCUCUGAAUCACCAGGCCCCGAGGUGCCGGGGCUCUGAACUGCCAG